rnacentral:snoRNA from 1 species
AAGACUAUACUUUCAGGGAUCAUUUCUAUAGUUCNUUACUAGAGAAGUUUCUCUGACUGUGUAGAGAAAGUAAGCUCCAAAUGGU